CUGAUGAGAUUUAUGGCUUAUAGGGCAUGA
rnacentral:piRNA from 1 species